CGAGGCCCAUAAAAACUUUGUGGCUCGAAAUGGUAACAUUUCGUGAAAAAUUCCCUAAAUUGCUGGAAAGCCAUUAAAGUUCUUUUCGCGACAACGAGAUCCGUAAGGAUGAAUGUGAACGCUUAAAAAGAAAAGAAAUUUGGUAAUCAGCAGCCAAGCCCACCUAAUUUUAGGGGGAAGGUUCAGAGACUAUAAUGGGAACCCCCUCCUUUUGAAAAAAGAAGGGGGAUGGGAUAGUCCAUUCCACUUGGAAACAAAUGG
rnacentral:ncRNA from 1 species